rnacentral:rRNA from 1 species
AACGAACGCUGGCGGCAGGCUUAACACAUGCAAGUCGAACGCAUCCUUCGGGGUGAGUGGCAGACGGGUGAGUAACGCGUGGGAACGUGCCCUUCAGUUCGGGAUAACCCAGGGAAACUUGGGCUAAUACCGGAUACGUGCGAGAGCAGAAAGAUUUAUCGCUGAAGGAUCGGCCCGCGUCUGAUUAGCCAGUUGGUGGGGUAAUGGCCCACCAAGGCGACGAUCAGUAGCUGGUCUGAGAGGAUGAUCAGCCACAUUGGGACUGAGACACGGCCCAAACUCCGACGGGAGGCAGCAGUGGGGAAUAUUGGACAAGGGGCGCAAGCCUGAUCCAGCCAUGCCGCGUGAGUGAUGAAGGCCUUAGGGUUGUAAAGCUCUUUCGUCCGGGACGAUAAUGACGGUACCGGAAGAAGAAGCCCCGGCUAACUUCGUGCCAGCCGCCGCAGUAA